UCCGUAGGUGAACCUGCGGAAGGAUCAUUACCGAGUGAGGGCCCUCUGGGUCCAACCUCCCACCCGUGUUUAUUUUACCUUGUUGCUUCGGCGGGCCCGCCUUAACUGGCCGCCGGGGGGCUUACGCCCCCGGGCCCGCGCCCGCCGAAGACACCCUCGAACUCUGUCUGAAGAUUGUAGUCUGAGUGAAAAUAUAAAUUAUUUAAAACUUUCAACAACGGAUCUCUUGGUUCCGGCAUCGAUGAAGAACGCAGCGAAAUGCGAUACGUAAUGUGAAUUGCAAAUUCAGUGAAUCAUCGAGUCUUUGAACGCACAUUGCGCCCCCUGGUAUUCCGGGGGGCAUGCCUGUCCGAGCGUCAUUGCUGCCCUCAAGCACGGCUUGUGUGUUGGGCCCCGUCCUCCGAUCCCGGGGGACGGGCCCGAAAGGCAGCGGCGGCACCGCGUCCGGUCCUCGAGCGUAUGGGGCUUUGUCACCCGCUCUGUAGGCCCGGCCGGCGCUUGCCGAUCAACCCAAAUUUUUAUCCAGGUUGACCUCGGAUCAGGUAGGGAUACCCGCUGAACUUAAGCAUAUCAAUAAGCGGAGGAA
rnacentral:rRNA from 2 species